rnacentral:rRNA from 1 species
GACGAACGCGUGGCGGCGUGCUUAACACAUGCAAGUCGAACGAGGAGGACAUAGAAAAGCUUGCUUUUUAUGGAAUCGAGUGGCAAACGGGUGAGUAACGCGUAAGCAACCUGCCCUGCAGAUGGGGACAACAGCUGGAAACGGCUGCUAAUACCGAAUACGAAGCAGCUCCCGCAUGGGGGCAGCUUGAAAGGAUGGCCUCUGAAUAUGCUAUCGCUGCAGGAGGGGCUUGCGUCUGAUUAGCUGGUUGGAGGGGUAACGGCCCACCAAGGCGACGAUCAGUAGCCGGUCUGAGAGGAUGAACGGCCACAUUGGGACUGAGACACGGCCCAG